rnacentral:tRNA from 1 species
GGCGGGGUAGCUCAGUGGUAGAGCAGGGGUCUCAUAAGCCCUUGGUCGACAGUUCAACUCUGUCUCCCGCCA